ACUGGUUUCUCCAGGUGCCCCAAACAAUCCACCCAGAUGUGUAUUAAAGUUGCCACCUUAGGUUAUCCCAAAAUUAUUAUCUCUCGCAACUUGCAUGAAUCACAUAUACCAAUCCCCGUCUACGAGCAUGGCUAAGCAAUAUAUGAUAUAACGAAUAUUCCCGCGGUGAUCAAAAGGUCAUAGGUUCCUACCACAUGAACUACAUAGCAUAACCACAUGUUCCCAAUCCUAUUCAUGCAAUCUUUGAGGGUGAAACUAAUGCAUAGUAAAAAAACUGGGUAUUGAAAAAUAUGAUCAAAGUGUGAACUUGCCUUGCCGACGUUCGUUGAACUGUAAAGAUUCGUAGUAGCAAGCUUCGCACUCCGGAUUAUCUAGCGUAAUUAAGCAAUAACAUACAUAAGCAUACAAGCAAAUAUCCAAAAAGUAAACAAAUGAAAGACUUCGAAAAACUCCAAAACAACUAAAUAAAGUUUCUGUAUAGAACGUAAUUUUUAUAGUAGAAAAAAUAUGUGUGUUUGGGUUUAACAGAAAGUACACGUCACGAGCUUCGUUUUGCAAAAAGAUUCACCUAAAACGGAGUUACGGAACUCAAGAUACGGCCUAACGAAGUUUGAAUUCAGAUCUGUUUGAAUUCAAAAUUUAAAAUUUUCAAAAAUAUUUUUCUUUUGGUUCUCUUGAUAGAGGGGAUUUUUAUGAACUAGUAGGAAAAAGAAUCAACUAAAUCGGAUCUAUAUACUAAAAGAUAUACAAGAAACAAGAAUUGGUAUAGAAUCUGAGAUUGAAAACAAUACUGGAAAAAGAGAGAAAUUUGGCUGGGUGUUCACCGGACUUGUUGCCGGCGACGAAGAAGAAGGCGGAUCCAGUGUGCUUCGGCGAAGGGCGCGUGCGGGACGGUGAAGAGCAACGUAAGGCGGAACCGAGGAGCAGUGCCGCGGGGUCAGUAUCGCCUCCUGGCGUUGUGGAGAAGCCGCCGGAAUCCACGAACUCCGGCGAGCAAUUGGCGAGGUUAGGGAGGGAGCUAGCUUUUGCAAACAGGGGGAUUCAGACGAGGGGAACUUGGGCAACGCUGUGGGCUUUUAUAGAGGGUCAGGGGAAGCCAGAGGAGAGCGGGGCGUUGCCGGAAUUAAUGUGUUUAAUGGCUGCAGUAUGAAGCGUUCGUGGUGGCCAUUAUGGCUGUCUAGGAGGUGCACUAGGGGGUGGAAACGGUAGAGCGAGUCGAGGGGAUUCCAUUCAGGAAGUCAGUUGAGCGAGGGAGAUGAAGGGAGAGGGUGGGGCGCUAGGGUGGGGUGCUGCCUGGGUGCGUGCGUACAUGUUUCUGUACGUUGAGAGGAAGAAGAAGAUAGCGCAUGGGCAUGGGCCUUCCUUGGGCCUUGGCUGCCCACGUUUUUUUUAACGUUUUUUUUACAGAAGCAAUGAAACAACGAAAAAACAAAUAAAAGUUUGCCUAAAAAUCCCAUAAAAUUCACAUAGUUAUAUGGUCUUAUAUAUGACCUAGUGAACUUUUAUCUGGCCUAAAAAUGCAAGUUUUUUUAAAAAUAAAUAUUUUUGCUAAACUAAUAAAAUAAAUUGCAAAUAAAACUCAAAAAUUAUAUUUUGGUUCCAAAUUCAAUUUCCAAUAUUUUCUUUUCCGAUUUUGAAGAAGUCAUUUUAUCUUCUCUCUUUAUUUUAUUUUUGAUAUAAUGGAAAUGAAUUUUUUGGUGAAACCAAAUUUGAUUCAAACUCACAACUUUGAAAAAAAAUCGAAAUUGUUUUUUUAGGGAAACUUCCAACUCUCUCUUUUGGUCCUUGAGUUGCUCAAAGUUCCUUGGAUCAAAAAUCAAAUAAAACAAAUGGAGGAAAAAAAUGCAUAAAUCAUGGAUGCAUAUGAAUGAUCUAUUUAUAAACAUCCAAAUUGAAAAUUGGGUUGUUACAAACCUACCCCCCUUAAGAUGAAUCUCGCCCUCAAGAUUCGGGUUGGCUAGUAAAAAGGUGUGGGUGGUCCUGUCGGAGAUCUUCUUCUCGUUCCCAGGUGGCUUCUUCUUCGGUAUGAUGACUCCAUUGAACCUUGCAGAACUUGAUGACCUUGCUGCGGGUAACCCUGCUUGCAGUUUCGAGAAUAUUGACGGGCUUCUCCUCAUAGUCAGAUCAUUAUCCAACUGUAUGGCCUCCAGUGGCACUGUAUCUCUCAAAGGAAUAUCGGCCAUCUCUGCAUGGCACUUCUUCAACUGGGAAACGUGAAACACAUCAUGAACUCCUGACAAGGCUUCUGGUAAUUCCAACUUGUAGGCAACUUCACCCAUGCGUUCUAAAACUCUGUACGGCCCCACAAAUCAUGGUGCUAACUUUCCUUUGACUCCAAAUCGUUUUACUCCUCGAAGUGGUGACACACGCACAUAUGUUCUAUCUCCGACUUCAUAGGUUACCUCCUUGCGUUUAGUAUCGGCAUAACUCUUCUGUCUGGAUUGGGCUACCUUGAGUCUGUCGCGGAUCAGCUUGACUUUCUCCUCUGAAUCUCUAAUUAAAUCUGGUCCGAAUAAUUUAUGGUCUCCAACUUCAUCCCACAUCAAUGGUGUUCUACACCUCCUUCCGUACAAAGCUUUGAAAGGGGCCAUUUUCAAACUAGCUUGAUAGUUGUUGUUAUAUGAGAACUCUGUGUAAGGCAAAUUAUCAUCCCAACUGGAUCCAUAAUCUAGCGCACAAGCUCUCAACAUGUCCUCCAGAAUCUGAUUGACUCUCUCGGUCUGCCCAUCCGUCUGUGGAUGAAAAGUUGUACUGAACUCCAGCCUGGUACCCAAAGUUUCAUGUAACUGAUGCCAAAACUUUGAGGUAAAUUGUGUUCCUCUAUCUGAUACAAUGGUCCUCGGAACUCCAUGCAGACAUACGAUCCUGGUCAUGUAUAUCUUGGCUAACUUAGCACUUGUAUAUGUGGUUUUCACGGGGAUGAAGUGAGCUACCUUAGUCAAGCGAUCAACCACUACCCAAAUAGAAUCAUAGCCUGACCGGGUCCUGGGUAAUCCUGUAAUGAAGUCCAUGCCAAGCUUGUCCCACUUCCAAUCUGGUAUCGGUAAAGGCUGAAGUAAUCCUGCUGGUUUCUAGUGCUCUGCCUUAACCCUCUGACAUACGUCACACAUUGCGACAUACUCGGCAAUAUCCUUCUUCAUACCUGUCCACCAGAAACUUUCCUUCAAGUCCAAAUACAUCUUGGUGUUGCCCGGGUGUAUUGAAUAAGGCGAAUCAUGAGCCUCCUGAAGAAUCAAUUUCCUGAUCUCUGGGUCAUUUGGCACGUAAAUGCGCUGCUCAAACCUUAAGGUUCCAUGUUCAUCCUCACGAAAUCCUUCCGCCUUUCCUUGGUUCAUCCUUCCCUUUAUCUCCGCAAUACCUUUGUCUAACUUCUGGGCUUCUUGGAUCUUUCCCAACAAAGUGGAUUGAAUAUCCAUUGCAGCAACAAAACCUCGUGGUACUAUCUCCAAUCGAAGAUCUCUGAGAUCGUCAAUUAACCCCUGAGGUAAUCCUCCUGCUGUGAGGGUAUUAACAUAUCUCUUGUGGCUCAAUGCAUCUGCCACAACAUUGGCCUUUCCUGGGUGAUAGUGCAAUUUCAUGUCAUAAUCCUUUAUGAGCUCCAACCAUCUUCUUUGCAUGAGGUUCAACUCCUUCUGCGUGAAGAUGUAUUAAAAACUCUUAUGAUCCGUGCAAACAUCACAACGAUUUCCGAUAAGAAAAUGUCUCCAGGUCUUGAGUGCGUGCACUACGGCUGCUAACUCCAAAUCAUGUGUGGCAUAAUUCCACUCAUGAGGUCGAAGCUGACGUGAGGCAUAUGAAACAACUCUUCCUUCUUGCAUAAGAACACCUCCAAGUCCCUGACGGGAAGCGUCGCAAUAUACUUGGAAAUCCUUGCAUAUAUUCGGAAGAAUUAGCACUGGGGCUGUGACCAAACGUUUCUUCAGCUCCUGGAAACUAGCCUCACAUUCCUCGGUCCAAUUAAACUUGGUGUCUUUCUUCAAUAACUCUGUCAUGGGCUUCGCGAUCUUGGAGAAAUUCUCAAUAAAUCUCCGGUAAUAUCCUGCGAGUCCAAGAAAACUACGAAUCUCUCCGACUGAGGUGGGUUCCUUCCAUUCGGUGACGGCUUCAACCUUUGAGGGGUCUACUGCUAUCCCUUCUCCUGAUAUAACAUGUCCAAGAAAUCCGACUUCCUUCAACCAGAAUUCGCAUUUGCUGAAUUUUGCGUAUAAUUGAUGUUCCCUGAGCUUCUCAAGAACCAAACACAAAUCUUCCUUGUGUUCUUCUUCAUUCUUCGAGUAAAUCAAUAUGUCAUCAAUGAAUACCACAACAAACUUAUCCAAGAACUCCAUGAAUACCUUAUUCAUCAUGCUCAUGAAAUAGGCAGGGGCAUUAGUCAAACCAAAAGACAUGACCGUAUACUCAUAAAGCCCAUAUCUCGUGGUAAAGGCUGUCUUGGGUAUAUCCUGUUCUCGAAUCUUCAACUGGUGAUAUCCUGAUCGAAGAUCGAUCUUGGAGAAAACUUUUGCUCCUUGUAGCUGGUCAAACAAAUCAUUGAUCAUUGGCAGAGGGUACUUGUUCUUGAUCGUCACUUCGUUUAGUGCACGAUAAUCUACAACCAUUCUCAAGGUUCCAUCCUUCUUCUCAAAUAGAAGCACUGGGGCUCCCCAAGGUGAUGAACUCGGUCGAAUAUAACCUUUCUCCAAUAAUUCCUUAAUCUGCUUCUUAAUUUCCUCCAGAUCAUUUGCGGGCAUCCGGUACAGUCUCUUGGAUAUUGGUCCGGUGCCUGGUAACAAUUCAAUCAAAAACUCUAUGUCCCGAUCCGGUGGCAUGCCGGGCAAUUCCUCAGGGAAUACAUCGGGAUAAUCCUUCACAACCGGUACUUCCUCCUGAACAACUCCCGAAAGAGAAUUCACUUGAGUCCUCCUUGGCAUAUGCCUCGACACAUACUUGAUCCGUUUCCCCUCUGGGGUGGUGAGAAGAAUCGACUUACAGGCACAAUCAAUAUUCCUUCAUACUUGGAUAGCCAGUCCAUACCUAGAAUUACGUCCAAUCCUUGUGAUUCUAGGAUGAUGAGGUCUGUAGGGAAAACGUGUCUCCCUAUGGUCAAUGGCAACUGAAAACAUCCCCGACUAGCCAUAUGCUCUGCUCCUGGGGAACUCACUAACAUUGGUGUUUUAAGGGCUAUGGUCGGCAACUUAAACUUAUCCACAAACCCCCUUGAUAUGAAUGAAUGUGAUGCACCAGUGUCAAAAAGAACAAGGGCUGUAAAUGAAUUAAUCAAGAACUUACCAACAACGGCGUCAGGCUGGUCAUAAACUUCCUCCACAUUGACAAGGUUCACCUGACCUCUGGUGAAAGGAUUGGGCUUCUUUCCAGAGCUUCCAUUUCCAUUCCCGUUCUUCGCCUCGGGACACUCGGUGGCGUAGUGUCCGGUCUUCCCGCACUUGAAGCAGGUAAUGUGGCUCAGGUCCUUCUUUGCUGGUGUAGCGGGGUUGGACUGAUGCUGAUUGUUGUUUCCUCCGUUCCCAUUGCCAUUCCUAUGGCCAUUAUGGUUGUGUCCAUUCCCUCCAUGAUGUGAAUGUCCUCCAUGGUUAUGGUGAGUGUGUCCACCAUACUUGCCAGAUCCUGGUCCAUUAUUUCCGGAGUACGGGGUAUAGCGGGGCUUCUGCUGAACUCCAGAGUUGUACUUUCCCUGUCCAUACUUCCUCUUGCGAUUCUCCACCUGCUGCUGCUUGCCUUCCAGAAUGAGAGCCUUGUCGACCAACUCUUGAUAAUUGAUAAAGGUAGCCAUGGUCAACUGAAGUCCCAAAUCAUCGUUUAGUCCCUCCAGAAAUUUCUCCUGCUUAGCGUCAUCAUCAGCCACGUCUCCGGGAGCAUACCUGGAUAACUUACUGAAUUCCUCCACAUAAUCACCAACAGAACGAUUUCCUUGGCGUAAGUUGCGGAACUCACGCUUCUUCAGACUCAUAGCUCUGGCUGAAACAUGUGCGGUACGGAACGCCUGCUGGAACUGAUCCCAAGUCACAUUGGCUAUGGGGAAUGUGGUGGUGUAAUUCUCCCACCACGAGGCUGCUGGUCCAUCCAGUUGAUGUGCGGCAAAGCGCACCUUCUCAGCGUCAGUGCAUCCUGCAGUGGUCAGCUCUCUUCCGAUCUUGCGAAGCCAGUCAUCUGCAACGAUCGGCUCCAUGCUGCUAGAGAACACUGGUGGGUUCAACCUCAGGAAUCGGGUAAGGUUGUCGACCGGGGGUGGUGGCGGUGGGUUGUUGUUGUUCUGGUUCUGAUUCUGGAUGAGUAGCUACAUGAGGGCAUUCUGGUUCUGGAUCAACAUGGUAAGUUCCGGUGGGAAUUUCGGGUCACGUCUUGGAGGCAUCUGUUAGGUUUAGAGUGGAUGAGAAAUUAGAAUAGAAUAAGGGCCUAAUGAGAGAAAUCACUACCCAUAUGCUUAUGAUAGCAAGAAAACUUCAAAUCAAGCAAUUCACACAUAUCACACCACACAAGCAAAACCUACAGGUAAGGUCAUAUCCACAAGAGAUAUGAUCUCUUCAUACUACCGCGAUCAUUCGUUGGACUCAACUUGGUAGUGGUGGUCUGAACUAAAUCUUCUCAAAUCAAAGUCAACUCUAGCCUCUUCUUCUUUGUCGUCAAUGAUGUCUUCAUAGGUCAUGGUCUCAUCGGGCUGAGCAACUUGGUGAUGGGGUUCAACAACUAUUUUAUUGAAGUAGAGAAGAGAUAGAAAUGAAUAGAGAAAAGUAUAGACCAACAGAUAUUUAAGGAAGUCGUAAAAUAAAGUUUUCUUCCUAUGGCUUUCCAGUUCCUAGUGGUCAUGUCCUACAGUCAGCGUGUGCUCUGAUACCAUCUUGUACGACCUGACCCAAAAUGAAUCGAAGUCUCUGUGCUUAAGUGUCAUCCCUGGAUCGGUAUGCUGACACACACAGUACUCGAGGAAUUAUAACAGAGUUCAAUCACACUUUAUUACAUCAAGGUUCUUAAAAGAGUAUUUAUUACAAUAAUAUGGCCAAAGGCCAUCUAAAUAAAAAUAACUGCAGAAGCUUCAAAGGUAAAUGAGUCCAUCCAACUCCAAGGCAAGCACUGGUUUCUCCAGGUGCCCCAAACAAUCCACCCAGAUGUGUAUUAAAGUUGCCACCUUAGGUUAUCCCAAAAUUAUUAUCUCUCGCAACUUGCAUGAAUCACACAUACCAAUCCCCGUCUACAAGCAUGGCUAAGCAAUAUAUGAUAUAACGAAUAUUCCCGCGGUGAUCAAAAGGUCAUAGGUUCCUACCACAUGAACUACAUAGCAUAACCACCUGUUCCCAAUCCUAUUCAUGCAAUCUUUGAGGGUGAAACUAAUGCAUAGUAAAAAAAACCGGGUAUUGAAAAAUAUGAUCAAAGUGUGAACUUGCCUUGCUGACGUUCGUUGAACUGUAAAGAUUCAUAGUAGCAAGCUUCACACUCCGGAUGAUCUAGCGUAAGUAAGCAAUAACAUACAUAAGCAUACAAGCAAAUAUCCAAAAAGUAAACAAAUGAAAGACUUCGAAAAACUCCAAAACAACUAAAUAAAGUUUCUGUACAGAACGUAAUUUUUAUAGUAGCAAAAAUAUGUGUGUUUGGGUUUAACAGAAAGUACACGCUUCGUUUUGCAAAAAGAUUCACCUAAAACGAAGUUACGGAACUCGAGAUACGGC
rnacentral:lncRNA from 1 species